rnacentral:tRNA from 1 species
GCCUUUGUGGUGCAGUGGUCAGCACGCUCGUCUCGUAUUCGAGAGGUCAGUCCUUCGAGUCCCGGCGAGGGCA